rnacentral:lncRNA from 1 species
UAUUUUCAUAAUAAUAGAAAUAAAUGGUGUAAAAAAAUAAAAAAAAAUUGUAAAUAAAAUAUGCUGAAAAUAAACAAAAUAUAAGUGAAACAAAAUAAAAUGGGACAAAAUGCACACGUUGGGGGCCAAACCCUUGACCUUGGGGUCAUGCGGGAUCAACCCCCUCUCCCACUGAGCCAAGCGCUCGCUUGUGAAAACAAACGCGCUCAAUAGAAUAAAUAAUAAAACAACAAUUAAAAACGAAAGUGCAUGCUGAUGAGCCAAUCA